GCACAUGUUCCACAUAAUCCAUUGUGAAUUCUUCUGUGAGUGUCUGUGUGGGGAUGUCCUUGUGGUGCCCUCAUGCUGGCUCUCGCGGGCUGUGGGGCGAGAUGGGCUUUUUGCUGCAUGUCGUUCCUGCUGCCGUUUGCUUCCUUCGGGAAGCCAUCGCAUUGCGAUACUUGAAUGCAUUUCUUCUCUCGUGCCGUGAGCCACUCGAACUCACAACUUUCAGCGAUGGAUGUCUCGGUUCGAACAACGAUGAAGGGCGCAGCGAAGUGCGAUAAGCAUUGUGAAUUGCAGGAUUCCGUGAACCGACAGGAACUUGAACGCAUAUUGUGCUUUUGGGAUAUCCCCGAAAGCAUGCCUUCUUCAGUGUCUGUGCUUUAUUGUUCCAGUAGUUGUAGUCCUUCGCGGGACAUGCUGCUGUGAUUGCUCGUGCCUCAAGAUGCGCAGGUCGGCGCUCCUGAGGCAUUUGAUGGACAAGGCUUCGCUUCGAUUGCCAACUCACUGAGCAUUUCUAUGCGCUUUAAGUUGCGCCAGUUGUUGCGGUGGCUUUGCUUUCCAAUAGCUUGGCGCAUGUCAAGCUUUCAAGACAUGAAGUGAGGUUGGCAA
rnacentral:misc_RNA from 1 species